rnacentral:rRNA from 1 species
UUUCGCCGCUCGCAANUCGGCGAGAAGUCCAUNGAACCUUAUCAUUUAGAGGAAGGAGAAUCGUAACAAGGUUUCCGUAGGUGAACCUGCGGAAGGAUCAUUG